rnacentral:rRNA from 1 species
AUGGAUGCUAAUAGGGAAGCUGGCCCUGAUAACAUCCCUGCAGAAUUUUACCAACACUGCUGGGGUAUCGUCAAAAAGGAUAUCAUGCGUAUCUUUGAUCACUUCCAUGCCGGGACGCUUGAGGUGCAGCGCCUGAACUAUGGAGUGAUUACCUUGCUUCCCAAAGUUUCUGGCGCUGAACGCAUUCAGCAGUUCCGACCCAUUUGCCUUCUCAGAUGUCCCUACAAAUUGAUAACCAAAACUAUGGACCGGAGAGUGGAAAGAUACGUUGGCAAGCUGAUUAGUUUGUCGCAAAAUGCAUUU